AACGAACGCUGGCGGCAGGCCUAACACGUGCAAGUCGAGCGCCCCGCAAGGGGAGCGGCGGACGGGUGAGUAACGCGUGGGAACGUGCCUCUUGCUACGGAAUAGUCUCGGGAAACUGGGGGUAAUACCGUAUGUGCCCUUCGGGGGAAAGAUUUAUCGGCAAAGGAUCGGCCCGCGUUGGAUUAGGUAGUUGGUGGGGUAAUGGCCUACCAAGCCGACGAUCCAUAGCUGGUUUGAGAGGAUGAUCAGCCACACUGGGACUGAGACACGGCCCAGACUCCUACGGGAGGCAGCAGUGGGGAAUCUUAGACAAUGGGCGCAAGCCUGAUCUAGCCAUGCCGCGUGAGCGAUGAAGGCCUUAGGGUUGUAAAGCUCUUUCAGUGGGGAAGAUAAUGACUGUACCCACAGAAGAAGCCCCGGCUAACUCCGUG
rnacentral:rRNA from 1 species